rnacentral:rRNA from 1 species
UACGGGGGAUGCAAGCGUUAUCCGAAAUCAUUGGGCGUAAAGCGCCUGUAGGUUGUUUAUUAAGUCUGUUGUUAAAGCCUAGGGCUUAACCCUAGAACAGCAAUGGAAACUGGUAAACUUGAGUAUGGUAGGGGUAGAGGGAAUUUCUAGUGUAGCGGUGAAAUGCGUAGAUAUUAGAAAGAACACCAGUGGCGAAAGCGCUCUACUGGACCAUUACUGACACUCAGAGGCGAAAGCUAGGGUAGCAAAAGGGAUUAGAUACCCCUGUAGUCCUAGCCGUAAACGAUGGAUACUACAUGUUGCGUUUAUUAUGCAGUAUGGUAGCUAACGCGUUAAGUAUCCCGCCUGGGGAGUACGCUCGCAAGGGUG